rnacentral:misc_RNA from 1 species
GCAAACUUGGUCAUUUAGAGGAAGUAAAAGUCGUAACAAGGUCUCCGUAGGUGAACCUGCGGAGGGAUCAUUACCGAGUUCUCGCCCUCGCGGGCAGACCUCCCACCCACUGCUAUAACUACCGUCGUUGCUUUGGCGGGCCGCCGGGCCUAGCCCGGCCGCCAGCACCUGCCGGCGCGCGCCCGCCAGAGGCCUACAAACACUGAACGUCUGCGCCGUCUGAGCACUACGUGAAUAAUCAAAACUUUCAACAACGGAUCUCUUGGUUCUGGCAUCGAUGAAGAACGCAGC